GGUUAAACUACUAAGGGCACACGAAGGAUACCUUGGCGCCAACAGCCGAUGAAGGACGUGGAAGACCACGAUAGUUUACGGGGAGCUGUCAACAAGUGUUGAUCCGUAAAAUUCCGAAUGGGGAAACCCGGCAGAGUGUUGCUCUGUCAUCUCUAACUGAAUAAAUAGGUUAUUGAAGGUAAGCGAGCGAAUUGAAACAUCUUAGUAGCUCGAGGAACAGAAAGUAAAAACGAUUUCCGUAGUAGCGGCGAGCGAAAUGGAAUCAGCCUAAAUUGAUACUAUGUAAUAGAUUACAGUCGUUGUAGUAUCGAGGUAGUGGGUUAUGAUUUAGACAACCUGUAAAUUGUCUGCAAAGUCAAAAAAUUAAUAUUUAUCUGAAUAGAACUGGAAAGUUCAACCAUAGAGGGUGAUAGUCCCGUAUGAAUCCGAUAUUAGUCUUUGUUAUCAUAUACCCGAGUAACCCGGAACACGUGAAAUUUUGGGUGAAUCCGCGACGACCACGUCGUAAGGCUAAACACUGUUGGCGACCGAUAGUGAACAAGUACCGUGAGGGAAAGGUGAAAAGAACCCCGGAAGGGGAGUGAAAUAGAACAUGAAAUCGUGUGUCUACAAGCAGUCGAAGCACUAUUAAGAGUGCGACGGCGUGCCUGUUGAAGAAUGAGCCGGCGAGUUAUCGUAUGUAGCAAGGUUAAGCGGGUUAAACGCGGAGCCGAAGGGAAACCGAGUGCGAAUAGCGCGAUUAGUUACUUGCGAUAGACCCGAACCCGGGUGACCUAUCCAUGUCCAGGAUGAAGCGUGAGUAAAAUCACGUGGAGGUCCGAACCCACGAAUGUUGAAAAAUUCGGGGAUGAGGUGUGGAUAGCGGAGAAAUUCCAAUCGAACUCGGAGCUAGCUGGUUCUCCUCGAAAUGGUUUUAGGGCCAGCGUCAAUCCAGAGCUAUGUGGGGGUAGAGCACUAGUAAUGUGCGGGGGAUGAAAUAUCCUACCAAAUGUUGUUAAACUCCGAAUACCACAUGUGCGUUAAUUGGCAGUGAGACUACGGGAGAUAAGUUUCGUGGUCAAGAGGGAAACAGCCCAGAUCAUCAGAUAAGGUCCCCAAGUGAUAGUUAAGUGAUUAAGGAGGUGCAGCCUCCCAGACAACCAGGAAGUUGGCUUAGAAGCAGCCACCCUUCAAAGAGUGCGUAAUAGCUCACUGGUCAAGAGGCUGUGCGCCGAAAAUAUACGGGGCUCAAACUAUCCACCGAAGCUAUGAACUUUGUACUAUGUACAAUUUGGUAGAGGAGCGUUGUGUUGUAGGCUGAAGUAUGACUGUAAGGACAUAUGGACGAGACACAAGUGAGAAUGUCGGCAUAAGUAGCGAAAAUAUUGGUGAGAAUCCAAUACACCGAAAGUCUAAGGUUUCCCACGGAAGGUUCGUCCGCGUGGGGUUAGUCGGGUCCUAAGGCGAGGCUGAAAGGCGUAGUCGAUGGAUAACAGGUUGAUAUUCCUGUACCGGUGUUAAAUGACAAAGACAAUAAGGAGGGACGCAGGAGGCUAUAUCAGCUGUCGAAAGGAAGAGACAGUUUAAGCAAGUAGGUAGGCUUUAUAGGAAAAUCCGUUUAGCUAAUACUGAGAAGUGAUGACGAGGGGUUACGACCCUGAAGUGAUAGAUGCCAUGUUGCCAGGAAAAUCUUCGUAUUGAAUUUAACAGCGCCCGUACCGUAAACCGACACAGGUGGACAGGUAGAGAAUACUAAGGUGAGCGAGCUAACUCUCGUUAAGGAACUCGGCAAAAUGAUCUCGUAACUUCGGAAGAAGAGAUGCCGUAUUAGAGUGAAGGGAGAAACACCCGGAGCUCGAGACGGUCGCAGCGGAGAGUCCCAAGCAACUGUUUAACAAAAACACAGGUCUGUGCGAAAUCGUAAGAUGAAGUAUACGGGCUGACACCUGCCCAGUGCCGGAAGGUUAAUAGGAGAUGUCAUCGCAAGAGAAGCAUUGAAUUGAAGCCCCGGUGAACGGCGGCCGUAACUAUAACGGUCCUAAGGUAGCGAAAUUCCUUGUCAGGUAAGUUCUGACCCGCACGAAAGGUGUAAUGAUUUGGGAACUGUCUCAACGAGAGGCUCGGCGAAAUUGGAUUAGCUGUGAAGAUACGGCUUAAUCAUACCAGGACAGAAAGACCCCAUGGAGCUUUACUGUAGCUUGUCAUUGAAUUUGGGUUUUGCAUGUGCAGGAUAGGUGGGAGACUUUGAAGUGUAGACGUCAGUCUGCAUGGAGUCGUCGGUGAGAUACCACUCUUGCAAGAUCUAGAUUCUAACCUCAAUUCCGUAAUCCGGAUGAGGAACAGUGGCUGGUAGGCAGUUUGACUGGGGCGGUCGCCUCCUAAAGAGUAACGGAGGCGUCCAAAGGUUCCCUCAGGCUGGAUGGAAAUCAGCCAGAGAGUGCAAAGGCAUAAGGGAGCUUAACUGUGAGACCGACAAGUCGAACAGGUACGAAAGUAGGGCUUAGUGAUCCGACGGUUGUGCGUGGAAGCGCCGUCGCUCAACGGAUAAAAGUUACCCUGGGGAUAACAGGCUGAUCUCCCCCAAGAGUCCACAUCGACGGGGAGGUUUGGCACCUCGAUGUCGGCUCGUCGCAACCUGGGGCGGUAGUACGUCCCAAGGGUUGGG
rnacentral:rRNA from 1 species